UCCUCUCCCUACAGUUCCAGAGAGGUGGAUCGCAUGGUCUCCCUGCCCAUCGGAGGCCUCAGCUACGUUCAGGGGUGCACCAAAAAGCAUCUUAACAGCAAGACCGUGGGCCAGUGCCUGGACACCACAGCACAGAGGGUCCCAGAACGAGAGGCCUUGGUCGUCCUCCAUGAAGACGUCAGGUUGACCUUUGGCCAACUAAAGGAAGAGGUGGACAAAGCUGCUUCUGGCCUCCUGAGCAUUGGCCUCUGCAAAGGUGACCGGCUGGGCAUGUGGGGACCUAACUCCUAUGCAUGGGUGCUCAUGCAGUUGGCCACCGCCCAGGCGGGCAUCAUUCUGGUGAGGAGGGGCUUGCUUGGCACAGCUUGGUGUGCGUGGGG
rnacentral:sRNA from 1 species